GAUGAGAAAGAUAAACGUAUUAAUCACACACUAGUGUCUGCUGGAUAGUAAAGUAACAGUCGCUCCAGUGAGACAUGCCUCACAGGCAUCUCAUAUAAUCUGCUCAUUUAACCAUUCCCAGCCCCUCUCUCCCCUGAUGUGCAGUCACCCACUGUCUCUUGCAAAGAGAAAAGCCCAUCUCCUGAAAUAAGAGGAAUUUGUUUUUUAGCUGGUAACUAGUGAGUCCUGAAGUCACACAACCCCCUUGCUCCCUGAGUCACAUUAAUCACUGCAGCCACAGGCUUGUGUCUAUUUUUCUGCCUAUUUGUCAUAAUUUGGAGAAGGGAAAAUAAGGAAACUAGAGGCCCCUGGCAGGAACACAAUGCAGAGACUGAGCAGAAGAGUGGUGUCUGUCUCUGUGGAUUCAGUGAUAUCACUCAGUGAGUAGAGAAGGUGCGGGCAAGGUCUUUCUCAUUGGUGAGGGUCGUAUACUGUCUCUUGAGGCUCAACAGUUCAUUGCAUCAGCAGCAAGGUAGUUUAUGAAAUGUUGCCAUUUACCUUAAUACCACUUCCGUCUCUUGCGCUCACACAAUAUUUUGCAAGCUUUGUUAUACAUGUUCUCUCACUUGUCUUACCAUUCAGAACUACAGUUCAGAACAGAGCUAAAUGGCUCCCCAUUACAAGAAGCAGCGAGCACAAAGACCUAUUAAUCAGAGCCUAUUCAGAUAAUCCUAGUUUACCCUCUUCUUUCUCUGUUGUUACUUGCUUCCAGGAACAACGAGGUUAUCCUCUUUCCCUUUUUUUCUUCCAAUCCUCCCAGUGAGGAAGAGAAGAACUUAAAAAAUGAAUCUGCUUGUUACUGUAGCUAGUUCCUCUUUUAAACUGGAGACUCUCAGACACAGGGUUCUGUUCCCAGGCCGUAUCACCUCCCUCAAAUUGUCUGCAGUAUGGGGUCCAUGCUGGUUUCUGGUCUCCUCGUAGUGUGCCUUUUGGGGAGCAGGUGCUGGCUGGCUGAAAUAGCAGCCAUGUUUCUGUCUUGCUCCAGAAUCCCAUGCUCUGAUUUUAUCAAAAGGGAUGGAGAAUCUUAUCACUAGUCUCCAGAAUACCUUUGGACGGGAGAUCUCAGCUGGAGAGUCCACGGCUGGCUGCUAUUUUCCUUUAUUUACAUGGAGAGGAGAAAUGUAAAUUUAGCUAAACAAUAGCCCCUAGCAUUGCAGUGUAAAAGUGCAGAGUCAUUUUAGAGGAAGUAACGAGAGAUUUUUUUCUGUGUCUAAUUUGUCUGUCCUACAGUGGGUUGGCAUUCCACUUUACAGAGCACAUGUGGUAGAGGUUGUUAAUGCUUGUUAACCAUUCACUCUGCCUUCAUAGCUUGUUAGCCAUUCACUCCUCAGUCUGACCAUUCCAAUAUGGUCACUUCACAGGUGGUCAGGAAGUUGCAGCAUGGACAUCCUAGCAGUCCAGCUAGUCAGAAGCUUUACUUUGACACCAGUCAUGUUAGGACAUGUAUGUCCACUUUCUCUGUAGGUGCAGUACCAAUGGCUGAGAGGUUAGUACCUCUUCCUUGCUUCUAGAACUAAGAUACCGUAGCAGCAUUGGGUUUUUUAAAAGGUAUCAAACUCUUUUAUGAGAGGACAAGGGGGAAUUUGGUUCAAAGACAUAAUCCCAUGUUUGGGAUUUUUAUCGGUUGGUAUUUGAAAAAAAAAUCUGUGGAUUCUAUACCUUAUUCUCUUAAGCACUCAUUUUCUUUUUUGAUGAAAGACCUUUUUAAAUACCUCAGCAGUAGGUCCAAACAUCAAUUAUUUCUACUAGCCAGAGGUCUGGUAGGAAGUUAUUGCAUAGGAUCUUACUCUUAGCCUUGCUGGGUACAUCUCCACUGCAAUAAAAGACCUGCAACGCAGUCACGGCUGGCCCUGGUCAGCUGAUUCAGGGUCAUGGGGCUCGGGCUAGGAGGCUAUAAAAUUGCAAUGUAGACGUUCAGGCUUGGGCUGGAGCAUGGGCUCUAAGACCCCAAUGAUGGGGCUGGGUCUCUGAGCCAAGCCCAAAUGUCUACAUUCCAACUUUUAGCCCCGCAGCGUGAGCCCAAGUCAGCUGACCGAGGCUCUGAGACUCUGUGCCGCAGGUUUUUUAUUGCAGUGUAGGCAUACCCGUAGGCUACCAAGAGUAUUCUGUUUAGGGGAUGUCCCCUGGAUGUAUUUUUAUCGUAUUAGAAUAUGGUAUUUGUCUCUUCCUAUCCUAAACUGUUGUGUAGUGUUUUAUGUGCCAUUAAAUAGUUGCCAAAUUCCACCCUAGAGGUGGCUGCUUCAGUGGUGGGGUAAAGUUGUGAAAAUAAUAGUUUGUAAGUACAUCCUUCAGAAUCAAAGUAGUACUUAUCAAAUAGUAUAUAUAUUUAUAAACUCUUCCUUUUACUUAAAGCUUGAAACCUUUCCUCUCGUUUUUAGGGUGUCACUUUUUACUAUCUAAACAGCAGCAAUUUGUGGGAGACCUCAUGACAGAAGAAAAGCCAUCCAUCACACACUUUUUCUCUCCCCAGGACUAACAUCCACUCGUUUACUCCGCAGGAGAGAAGUAGAUACAGUUUGACAAAUGUUGGUAUUUGUGUUUAAAUUUUCCUUUUUGCCAUCUCCUGUGGCCUGUGCAGAUGUACACACACAAGUCAAAGCGCCUGGUUGUGUGAAGGAACUUGCCCAUGUGCAACGCUCCACUUAUUAGUUUCCUUUGACACUGAGUUAGUGUAAUAGCCGACACUCAGUCAGUUUUAUUACUUGUGUAUAUAAAACGUGGGUCAUGUUCCAGAUUAAAGAUGGAAGUGUGCGAGCUAGACGCCUGUACUAAAGAGACAGGAGUUGUGGUUCAUCUCAAUAUUGAAUAAUAAGCAAGAGACAGGAAGUAUUUGUCAUAAAUCUUGACGUGCAUGGGGUUGUUCCUCCCUUAUCCUACCCCAGUAUUCAAUUUUCAUCCUGGCAUUGCCAGGCACUCGCUCCUCUUCACUCAGCAGUUAAGAGAAGCUUUUUCAUUAUGUUCUCUGGAAGGCACUUUAUAGAGAAGUACGUCCCCCUCUGCCUCAUAAAUCCACUUUAUAUUUCAAGCUUGCGACAUGGGGAUCAGAGAUCUUGGCAAGAAGCAAUUAUUAUAAAGAACCAGUUCUCCCUCUUUUAGGUUACAAAGAGAAUGUUAUGGGGAAAGGGAAUUUAGCUGAAGACAAGGAGAGGUCAUUUUAGUGAAAGGCAGUGUUCCCUGAUUGAUUGACAACCACACAGCCUUAUUAAUGCUCGGUCGUUAAAUGUCCCGUAGGGCAUGGCAGCAUGAUGUCACAGGCUAGCAAAAGCUGCUGGUUGCUACAAAAAUUAACAAACAAAAGCAAUAGACUGAAAGUGGAAUAAACUCAUAAAUAUUUCCAGGCACAACCACAUCUUCUGGGCAAAUUUGGGGGGUGGUGUUCUUUUUAAUAUUUCUAUCAUUUUAAAUGAACAGUCUGUAAUUACAGUGAUUUGUUAGCUACCUGGGGACCUGAUAUUUGGGCAGGGUGUAAUGCUUAGGAGAGAUUGAUUAGUGAAGCAUAAUUAAAUUGGGGGAUUUUGAUAAUGAUAUCGCCACCCAAGAGAGCCAAGUCUGAGCAAUUAUACAGAUCCUCAGAGCCCUCCUGAUUGAAUUGUAUAACUUCAGCAGUCAGUCUCCCCAUCAAACCCCCUUCUUCCCACCCCACCACCACCACCUGUGUGUCUCCAUCCUUUCAGCUUUGAAGAGAUCUUCUAGAAGCCUGUUGAAAGGGGAAAGGAUACUUUCAAGAAUUACCCUCUCUACAGGUAGUCCCAGGGUACAGACACUAAGGAGAAGGCUGUAGUGCACCAACUCCACAAAGAAAAAUGUGAGCAUCAAAUCCUAUCUCCUCUCCAUCCCACCCUGCCCUGGCCUGAAUUUACAUCAGCCCUAGCUUUGAAGGAGGAAUUGAAUGUAGUGUUUUUAGCUGAGCAGUCAGACUUUGCAAAUACCUUUAUUUAUGUGUGUUCCUUUGGGAGUGUGCGUGCGUGCGUGCAACCAGACUCUUAUACGUGAGCUUUGUUUUCAAUGUGUACUCUUUGCUGGGCAUUGGACCCCGAGAACAGGCUUAGGGCCCUCUCUGAGGCUGUACUGCCUCUCUCUGACAGCUGCGUGUGGACACUAGGCCUUUGACAUUUAGAAAAAUCUCAGAAUCUAAAGCAAGAGGCAGGAAAAAAAUAUUUUCUUGUUUAAAGGUCAGAACCGACUGCUUUAAAAAAUGGUUUUAAAAUUGGUUUGUUGGACUGUGACAAGAUUUAACCAUACUAAUGGAUGGAGAGAAUAUUUGAUCUGGGUUAGGCAGAAAAAGAGAAGCCCUCCAGCAGACUGGCUGAGGAAGCUAUAAAAAUUAAGUGAGGCAAACUAAAGAACUUGAAUUAGGGGGUGGGGUUUAUGGCAGACAGGAGAGCAGGUGUCAUGUCCAGCUAGGGAGCUGGCAUGCAGAUUGCGCAGUGGGCUAUGAUAACACUGCUGAGUGAUGCGGUAUUAGGUGGAGUAAGAACAUUGCAGAGUUCCUAAGAGAUGCCCAGGUCGGUGCCAGAGGGGUUUUAUAAAGUGAAAAGAGUGCCACAGAGCCCUGAUUAAAGGAGGGUAGGUAGUGUGGGGUUCCCUGGCUUAGAGACAACAGAACUGGGGCCUUGAUGUAUGAAAGGUAAUGCAGCAGGAGGUUCCAUCUUGUGAGGAGUGUGAUGCAGGAGCAGGAGGAUCACUGCAGAUAUGCAAAGUUCAUGCAGUGAAUAAAAACGCCUUUGGAGCAAGGAGGUAUCAGCAGAUGAGUAAGGUACUAGGAGGUGAGGAGAGCAGUGCAGGUGUCUUGGUGGAUGAGUCCAUAGCACAAAAAGAAAAGUGUCAUGGGCUGAAGAGAACGGUAUGGAGACUGUCACAGAGCCAUCGGUAUUAGGCUUCACAGUCCUGCCCCCUACCACAUACAGGAUUGUUCCCUGCAGUGUAUUCAGGGUCUUAGUGUGUUAGGAGGUUGCACAGCAGGUGGUUCCAUAGAGUGAGAAGAGUAAUGCAGACAUCUUAGCAGAUGAGAUGGAGCUGCCUCCGUAGCUUCCCUGAGUAAAUGUCACUGGGGCAACAGGUUACUUGUUCAUUAAAACACCUAAUAAAACGUAGCCUUGAAAAUAAAGGCACCCCAUUCACUUUGUAGUAUUGCAGAGUUUCAUCUGCACAAUAAUAAAGUUCCUCACUGUGUCAAGGGGUUGGAGAGUCACUCUGCCAAUCCAGUUCAAGUAGCACAUCCUCUUAGGCCUUAACCCUUUAUAUGAAAACCGUCAUACUGUGAGGACCCUGCAGACACGGGCGUCUGAAUGCUCAGAAGUGUGUUCCUCCUACAUCGUGCAUCUAUUUCAUUCAUCACCCGUGGACAGAGCAGUGGAUUUUCAUAUGAAAAGGAGGAGAUUACCCCACUUUGUGGUGAAAUCCUGGAUUGUAUCAAACAUCAUGUUGGGAUUUUCUCCUCUUCUCCUUUUCCCCCACCCUUGUUCUCUCCCGCUGCUGCUUCCCACAGCCAACCUUCUUCUGGGACUUCUGUAGCCCAGCUUCCCUCUCCCCUUCCUCCCUCUCUUCACAGCACUCCAGGGGUGCAGCGGAGGCAGAGGGCAGUGAUGUGUUUAAGGGACAUUCAUUUGUCAGACUUGUCCACUCCAAGGUGGGAAACUGAGGCAGGGGACACUGCCCAACACACUAGGGGGUUGGGUUUGUUUAUGGACGCAAGCUUUGAAAUGUGCUUGUGGCGUUUGCCCAAACAAUGCUUGGUUCCCUUUCCCAUGUGUUGGCCAACAUUCUGUCACUGUGUCUGAGCCAUGUGUUGUCACCGCCAGCUGGUUGGUCUACUAAGAACUGAUGACAGUUCAUGCCAAGUUUCAGUUUAUAGAUUUUUGUACAUUAUUUUAAUUUUCUAGUUGCAAAAGUGUUCCUGGGGGCAGAGGGCAUGUGAAUUGCUGCCCCUGUCUCACGCAUCCAUCGAACCAUUUGAGAAUGUUAUCAAACCUUUAACAUCAUCAUCACCAGGCUGGAGAGAGAAAUUUCAGCCCAGAAGAUUACUUUUUUGAAAAGUUUAUAAGUAACACAGGCUGAGACAGAAAGUGUAAUCUCAACCAUACCUAUAGCAACACUAGCACAGUCUGAACGCACGUAUAUGUCCUGCUGAAGUGACACUGACGAGUGAUCCUCUUUUGUACUUCACACAUCUCUGCAGAACUUACAAACACCAGCAUGGUCCUUGCAACUGCCAGGAGUGACCUCCUAACAAGGACAGGUUUCAGAGUAGCAGCCGUGUUAGUCUGUAUCCGCAAAAAGAAAAGGAGUACUUGUGGCACCUUAGAGACUAACAAAUUUGUUAGUCUCUAAGGUGCCACAAGUAUUCCUUUUCUUUCUCCUAACAAGGAGAUGCUUUACUUUUUGCAACAUCUAGUGUCCGUAGGUGUUGUGAGCAUAGUCUGCUUUAGACUAUGAUUGUGCCAUGCGUGAGAGUGAUCCCUGCUGGAGGUGAGAGGAGCUAAUGUUUGUUUUCCUGUGAUGCUCACGAUUACAGAGAGACUCUUAGCCUCUCUGUAAGUGCUGCAAUUGAAUGCAUUCAAGUAUUUCUCUUUUUCCAGGCCUGCAGCAAGACUGAUCAUCCUGGCAUUCAUGAGAGGAGAGGGGUGGGUGAGGCUACUCUGCUCCUACCCUUCUCCACUUUCUGUGCCUUUCCUCACACCAAAAUAAAUCUGCAGCUAGAUACACAGAUAUUGACUGACGUGUUUGACUGCAGAUGGAACGAGCAGAGUGUGAGACAAAUAGAAAGUUUAUCCUGUGACCGAAAGGGAGCCAGCAGCUCCCUCGCUGGGCUGCUCACCUCUCUCGGGCAUUCACUUUCCAUGAUUAGCUUUAUAUCCCACUCAAGCCUUCAUCUCCUGCACAGACAGAUAAAUAGAGUGGAACAAAUGGAAUGGGCACACACGUUCUAAGGUACCUGGUUCUCUUAAAGGACUGAGUGCUGACACAAGGCUUUAUCUGUAAUACAAGUCUCUGCCUUCAAAAAAAAAAAUAUAAAAAACUAUAAAGCCUUAAAUAAUUUACCAAUUUCCAGGGUUAAAAGGAAGAUUUAUGAUGUUUUCUUCUGACUGGGAAGUGCUAAUCUUGUCUCUUAUGGAAAAGCAAUUGUACUAAAGACUCCUUUCUCUGAGGAGGUUGAAAAGCGACUGCUGGAAGUUCAUGUCGCCGCAUAGUAGACCGAUCCCACUUGUCCCGUAAAUACAACAUGGCCAAAAAGCUGCUUCUGAUUUUGUAAUCGCUCAACAGGGCAAUGCACCCUAGAAGUACAAAGCACAGUGGGGUUCUAGCCUGGAUCAUGUACAUACCAGUACGUAGUAAUAGAGAGUGUUUUGCCCCAUUUAAAUUGCUUUUCUGAUAAAGAUCCUUUAUAUUUCUGAAAGCAGAAUGGAGUGCUAAUGGAAACAGGCCAAAACUGGAAUGUCUGUUCCCCAAAAUGUUGGUGAGUUGGAUAAAAUAGAAACUGGAUCUGAACUGCCUUGGCUUUGGUUUUGCAAACCCCAAACCAAACCACCUUGAUUUGCCCAUUAACUAGAAUUGACAAAACUAGGCCCAUAACUUGGGUAUCGUCUUUGACUCAGCCCUUUCAGUGGACCCACAUAUUCAGUCCAACUCUAAGUCAUGCUUCUUUUCCUUACACAUCUCUAAAAGUAACAACAUGCUAACCAUGUGACUGUGAAUAAAACAUUUUCAUGGUUUUGGUCCCAGAUUAAAUUGAGCUAAUUUUUAAAAACACAUUAGACAUUUUUUUCCUCCCACGUGCCAUCACUAUUGAGCAGAUUUAAGGUUCUUUAGGUGCCCUAACUAUGCAUUUCCUUACCGGAUCAUAUUUGGCCUUUUUUUUUUUUAAGCUUGGCUUUAACUAUGAAUCUCCUGGCUUUUUAAUGAUUGAUUUGAUGAUAAGUACAUUCCUGUAAUGUAUUUUACCCUAAAUUACUAACGUGUACUCUCAACUUUAACUCUAGCAUAACAGUGUUUUUUGUUUGGCAAUUUCCUUGUUUGUCUAGGGUUUUUUUAGUACAUAAUAGCGUACACGAACACUAAAUAAGAAAUGCAAAGAGAAUGUCAUGAUAUUUCUUGUGAUUUGAAAAUAUAAACCAUCAACUUUAAUUCAUUUUUUAAUUUCAACUUUUAUGGCCAGAUUCAUUGGUACACUCUGGCUGCUUUAUGUCACCCUAGGGCAGUACAGAAGCAACCAAAGUGUACUGGCAAGUUAAGCCGAUGGGCAAACUGCUUUGAUUCACCAGAAGGACCAGAGCACCAGAAAGAAGUAAGAGUGUUCACCACAAUUUCUUCUUUCCUCUUGGUCUCCAAAUUCCUUCUGCCUCUUGCAAUUCCCCUCAUGGUCCUGCACACAUGUCCCAGUUUUUCUCUCUCUCCUUCCCCGCACAGUCCCCUGUACAUACACACUCCAGUUUCCUCACUCUCUACAUUUUCCAGGAUUCACACCCUGGUUUCUUCCUCCUUCCUGUGGUGCGUGGAGCAGAUUUGGUGCAAAGACUAGCAGCUGAAAAGAAAUAUUUAGAAUUAAUAUGGUCACUUUUUUCCAUUAUUUUUCAUAAAUGAAAAUUUGUGUUAGCAGAGGUGAGUAGGUAAAACUUUCUCCUCCUUUUCUCCCAUUGGUCUCAUAAAGACUGAAGUUAUAAACUGAGCAUUGUUAAAUUUCUUUCUUUAAAAGCAGGUACCAUCUCCUAUUGUUCCAAUGAGAAUGAAGUCAGGCUACCAUCAGGGAAGAUGGUGUCCCUCUAUGUUGUCAGGAGGCCGAGGAACCCUCAGUCUUGUUGAAAACAGUCAGAGAUGAUGGCCAUUUUGAAAAAAUGCAGCUCUUCAUGGAAUUUUCUGUCAUAGAACAUAUUAUUCAGCCUCUGCUGAAUCAGAAAUUUUCAGAAUAAUGGGGGGCAAAUGACAAUUAAUCUUCAAUAAAUAAACAAGUAUUCCAAUGUAGUCUACGCACAAGAUUUCACUGAGUUCUAACUAUACAGAGUUUUGAAGCAUUUGGGUAAUUCCAUUACUGAGAUCAUAAGGAACAAAUAAAUCGUCUGACGGUGGGUGCUAAACUUCUUAAAGAACCCUUUUAAAAUUAAUUUAAAGUCCUACAUGGAUUUCCUUGUAAAUUCUCAGAAAAUUAAUUCUGUGCCCAAAGAAUAAGGGCAAUAAUUUGAGGGAGGAGACACUGUAUUUUUCAUACAUAGCAAAGAGAAUUGCAAAAUUCAACUCAGCCUUGACUAUGAAGAGACAACUGGUGCCUCCAUAAUAUUUGGACUGUCCUCUCACCAGCCUAAACUUUAGUGUUUCAGGUCACAUAGAAUCAGAUCCAACACCCAUGGGCUUGGAUUUGAAAACCAAAAUCUGGCUGCCUUGGCACAUCUCUGAUUGAUAGCAUCUGGCCUAUAGUCUAAUUCAAGGCUGUAUGAGAGCUCCACACUCUGCCGGGACUUGUGCAUAGAUUGCAAAUGCAUAUCCCUCACUGACCUAAUUCCCUUUCUGUCUGUCAUUUGCCACUUUUUCAUCUUUCCCAGUCAGUCUCUUCAAUUUGUCCCUAUCUGACCCAGUUUCACGAUGGAUGCUCAGAAAGCAAGACGGCUGACUCCACUAAACAAAAGAUUAAGGCUCUAAACUUCACCAUCUGGAGUAGUUCAUAAAGAGAAAUGAACAUUAAGCUGAACAGAAGUGGAAGAGCUUUAAACAAACUCUUAAUUUACUUUUCCACUGUAAAAUCUUGUUAAAAUCCCCUCCCCGGCAUUGGUGUGACAGCGGCUUCCUCUGUGCCUUGCACUCUUCACAAUCAGAAGUGACAUUUACAUGAGAAGUUCAUAAUGAAAUUAAUCAUGACUCCUAAAAACAUGAAAUUGGAAACAAACAGAUCCCCGGGGCCUUUGGUGCUUCCCUGACAUUAUUGCUGCCCUUCUGGCAGGUGAAGAUACAUGCUGUCUGCGUGCAGAAACACCCACAGCUGAAGUCAUCGAUAUCCCUUUUGGGAGAGGGCAGUUCCACCUGAGCUGCUUCAGGGUUUCCCUUCUGCAUAGACUGUGGAUAGGGAGUGUCCUGUUGCUGAGGCAGGCUGGACUCUGUGAGGCAGUGCUUGUGUUGCCUCUAGCUUUGCUUCAUUAAGGGGGCAGAUGAGGAGCAGUGAUCAUUCCCAAAAGAGAAAUGUCUGGGGAGAAAAAUGUGAAUUUCCGUUGUGAUAGUUUUGCUGGUUUAUUAAUAAACAAGCAGAUUUUGUGCCACCCGUGGCAUGAGGGACUUUCAAAGCAUCCUUUGGCUCCUCUUGCAUUUUGCUUCUUUACCCUUUUUAUAAUCUAUGUUAUGACGAGAGGAGAAUUUUACCAUGUGCCCGUAUAUUGGGAUUCCACCCUUCUGUGUGUGUGUCUGGAAUAAUUUCUUCCAUCAGCAAAGCACCUGGGUAUAUGAAGCAGGGUUGGUAAAACACAUCCCCGUGUGUCUAUACUGUGAUAAAUAACUCACUGCACCAAGUCUCAGAGCCCAGGUGCUUGGGUUGCAGGGCUAUAAAAUUGCAGCAUAAACGUUCGGGCUCAGGCUGGAGUCCAGGCUCUGAGACCGCACUAGUUGGGAGAGGGUCUCAGAGCACGGGCUCGAGCCCAAAUCCGCAUGUAGAUACUGCAAUUUUAUAGCUCCAGAGCCUGAGCCAGCUGACCCAGGCCAGCUACAGCCAUGCUCUGGGUCUUUUAUCGCAGUGUAGACAUAUGCAAACUAAGGGGGCUAGUUAAAGGUAGAUCAUUGGCUCAUUUAAAGGGAAGGUUCAUUGAAAACAUGUCUCCUUAUCCUCCAAGAGAGGAGGGACUUAAGGACUUUGAUUCUUAAUGGAGAAAGAGCUUUUUGCAUAUUUCCUGCCUCCCACGACCAGGCUAUUCAAAGAUUUCUCUUCUAAAGCAUCCCUGGUUCUGCAUUUUCUACUGUGACUGCAUGUGUUAAUUGUUCAAACCCUUUAAAGUUUGUUUUCAAGAUAUUUUAAACAUUCUUCCUACUACCUUAUAAUUCAUUAUUCAUUUGAGGCUCACACGGGGUGUAUUGUUCAGAGAUUUUGGAAAUGCAGAACUUAAUAAUGGUCCAAUUAAAUCAUAUGUUGAACACGUGCUCUGCAGUAGAUAACGUUACUUUGAUUAGAAUAAGAUGCAUACUGAAGGAGACUCCAUAGUGAGAGUGCUAGAAUUCUUCAGCAUUUGGAGUGAAAUAAAACCCUACUGUAUUAACAAUUUCUUUUCCUUUUCCCCUUCCUCCCCUCAUUUCUCUCUUCUCUAC